GACGAACCGUGCGAACGUUGUUCGGAUUCACUGGGCUUAAAGGGCGCGUAGGCGGGCAACCAAGUCAGGGGUGAAAUCUUUCGGCUCAACCGGAAAACAGCCUCUGAUACUGGUCGUCUGGAGGGAGGUAGGGGUCUGUGGAACUUCUGGUGGAGCGGUGAAAUGCGUAGAUAUCAGAAGGAACGCCGGUGGCGAAAGCGACGGACUGGACCUCUUCUGACGCUGAGGCGCGAAAGCUAGGGGAGCAAACGGG
rnacentral:rRNA from 1 species